rfam:Tessaracoccus flavus strain RP1T, complete genome.
GGGGGUGACUGGUUUCGACUUGGGACGGUAGUUCCAGGGGAAGCGGGUCGAGAAUCCAUGCUCAUCUCGUAAACGAUGCAUGGAAACCAAUAAGUGCCAACUCAAACCGCACUAACUUCGCUCUCGCUGCCUGAUCAGUGAUCGAAGGGUCAGCCCGGAUGCGCCUUCCGUCCGGUUCCUGGCCUCAUUCAGAAGGCUUGCUGAGUGGCCUGUGUUUCAGGGGCCACUCGGGACUUAACUGAGACUGGGUCCGUUUGCGACAUGCCGACGUGAGUGCAAGGACCGAGAAAACGCCUAGUCGGCUGCACCCGGAGAAGCCCUGGUUCAUCUCUUAAGGACGCGGGUUCGAUUCCCGCCACCUCCACCA